UACGGAGGGGGCUAGCGUUGUUCGGAAUUACUGGGCGUAAAGCGUGCGCAGGCGGUUAUGUAAGACAGAUGUGAAAUGCCCGGGCUUAACCUGGGAACUGCAUUUGUGACUGCAUGGCUAGAGUUUGGCAGAGGGGGGGUAGAAUUCCACGUGUAGCAGUGAAAUGCGUAGAUAUGUGGAGGAACACCGAUGGCGAAGGCAGCCCCCUGGGUCAAGACUGACGCUCAUGCACGAAAGCGUGGGGAGCAAACAGG
rnacentral:rRNA from 1 species